rnacentral:tRNA from 1 species
CUUUAAAAGGUGUUAUUGCACGAGAAUAUUUGAGAUUCUAAGAAAUAUAAUUAUUAUUAAAGG